rnacentral:rRNA from 1 species
AUACGGAGGGUGCGAGCGUUAAUCGGAAUUACAGGGCGUAAAGCGUACGUAGGCGGUUCGUUAAGUUAGAUGUGAAAGCCCCGGGCUUAACCUGGGAACUGCAUUUAAAACUGGCGAACUAGAGUUGAGUAGAGGGGAGUGGAAUUUCAGGUGUAGCGGUGAAAUGCGUAGAGAUCUGAAGGAACACCAGUGGCGAAGGCGACUCCCUGGACUCGAACUGACGCUGAGGUACGAAAGCGUGGGUAGCAAACGGGAUUAGAAACCCCAGUAGUCC